AUGGAAGUGAGGAUCCUUUCCCCAGAUGAUCGACUAUGAUUAUAAUGUGCGCAAAUGUAGUCCUUUAUCAGAGGAUUCCAAGCCAGAAAUCUGAUCCAU
rfam:Brachypodium distachyon strain Bd21 chromosome 1, whole genome shotgun sequence.